GCGGAGAAAAGAAACUAACAAGGAUUCCCCUAGUAACGGCGAGUGAAGCGGGAAGAGCUCAAAUUUGAAAUCUGGUAGCCUUCGGUUGCCCGAGUUGUAAUCUAGAGAAGUGUUUUCCGUGCCGGCCCAUGUACAAGUCCCUUGGAACAGGGCGUCAUAGAGGGUGAGAAUCCCGUCCUUGACAUGGACCCCCGGUGCUUUGUGAUACACUUUCAACGAGUCGAGUUGUUUGGGAAUGCAGCUCAAAAUGGGUGGUGAAUUCCAUCUAAAGCUAAAUAUUGGCGAGAGACCGAUAGCGAACAAGUACCGUGAGGGAAAGAUGAAAAGCACUUUGGAAAGAGAGUUAAACAGUACGUGAAAUUGUUGAAAGGGAAACGAUUGAAGUCAGUCAUGCUCUUGGGACUUACCUCCCUUGAGUGGGGUCAACAUCAGUUUUGAUCGAUGGAUAAAGGCACGGGGAAGGUAGCACUCUCGGGUGAACUUAUAGCCUCGCGUCAUAUACAUUGAUUGGGACUGAGGAACGCAGCAUGCCUUAUGGCCGGGAUUCGUCCACGUACAUGCUUAGGAUGUUGACAUAAUGGC
rnacentral:rRNA from 1 species